rnacentral:rRNA from 1 species
CCUACGGGAGGCAGCAGUAGGGAAUAUUGCUCAAUGGGGGAGACCCUGAAGCAGCAACGCCGCGUGGAGGAGGACGGUUUUCGGAUUGUAAACUCCUUUUGUUAGAGAAGAUAAUGACGGUAUCUAACGAAUAAGCACCGGCUAACUACGUGCCAGCAGCCGCGGUAAUAGGGAGGGUGCAAGCGUUACUCGGAAUGACUGGGCGUAAAGAGCGCGUAGGCGGGAUAGCAAGUCAGAUGUGAAAUCCUAUGGCUUAACCAUAGAACUGCAUUUGAAAAUGUUAUUCUAGAGUAUGGGAGAGGUAGGUGGAAUUCUUGGUGUAGGGGUAAAAUGCGUAGAGAUCAAGAGGAAUACUCAUUGCGAAGGCGACCUGCUAGAACAUAACUGACGCUGAUGCGCGAAAGUGUGGGUAUCAAACAGGAUUAGAUACCCGGGUAGUC